rnacentral:lncRNA from 1 species
CAGUGUUGAUGAAAAAUGUAAAAGAGGAAACAAAAAGAAAAUUCAUAUUUUUCACUGUAAUGACGGAUAGAUUUCAAGAAAAGUUAAAUUAAUAUCACUAUAUUUACAGAUGAAGGAAAGUUGUGUCAAUUGUGUUCAAGCAGAGAAAUUUUCAAUACGAUGAUUAAAAUAGUCUUGAAGCAAAUAAAGCUGCUGACGUGAAUCCCUGCCUACAUUCUGAAUUUCUUUUCACAUUUCUUGACAUUCUUGAAACGAACGCAAUUAUCUUGAUGAAAGCAAGUAAAAACCUCAAGCCAAUAUGACAUUCUUCACAUGGAAAUAUAUCGCAAAAUAACUUGAUAUUUGUAUAAAUAUCUAAAAGAAAAAAGAAAAAUUUUGUUGGCGACAAGAAGAAAAUUAGGAAAGAGAUAGAAGUGUGAUAACUCUAAGGAAAAACAU